ACCUGCCUUGGCCUUCCAAAGUGCUGGGAUUACAGGCAUGAGCCACCGUGCCUAGCCAUAUACUUUAAAAAAUAAUAAUAAUAAGAAAAAACACCUUCACCCGUGUGGUCAUUGCCAUCGCAGCCACCCGAGAGGAGCUGGGGGAGGACCGUGGCCCAAAAGGCUAGGGGCAGACACCACAGCGGCAGUGGGAGCAGCAGAGGCGGAAGCUCCAGCACUCUCUCUCUUCCCACUCAGCCUGAGCCAGGGGAGGCCAGGCAGCCUGGAUGUCUGGACGGGGAUCUGCAGCUGGAGAAUGAGAAUUCUCUUCACCAGAAUUUGGAAACUGUUCAGUCACCAGGAGCACAGAGUUAGCAUUGCUGGGUGGGAUAAUGCAGGGAAAACUACCAUCCUUUGCCAGUUUUCCGUGAAUGAAGUUGUACCUAUAUUUCCUACAACAGGAAGUAAUUAAUGUAGAAGAGAUAGUGAUUAAUAAUACACAUUUCCUAAUGUGGGAUACUGGUAGCAAGCAUCUCUUCCUUCUUCCUGGAACACUUAUUAUACUAACACAGAGUUUGUAAUAGUCGUUGUGAACAGUAGAGACAGAGAGAGGAUUUCUGUAACUAGGGAAGAACUUAUAAAAUGUUAGCACAUGAGGACCUAAGAAAAGCUGGAUUGUUGAUUUUUGCUAAUAACCAAGGUGUUAAAGAAUGCAUGACAGUAGCAGAAAUGUCCCAGUUUUUGAAGCUAACUUCUAUUAAAGAUCAUCAGUGGCAUAUCCAGGCAUUCUGUGCUCUAACUGGAGAGGGAUUGUGCCAAGCACUUGAAUGGAUGAUGUCAUAACUUAAGACUAGAUUAUCUCUACUGACCUCUCAUAGACUCUGUAUAAAUGAAGUGCUGGACUUGACCUGUCAGCUGCAAAAAUGAAUGGUUUCAAUGUAUUUAUAAUAAACUGAUUUAAACUUUUUCUGUAAGAAGAAAAAUUAAGACCACUUAUUUGAAAACAAAGAUGAAGUCUCACCUUCCAAUUUGCUUUCUCAUUAGUUUUUUCCAAAGUAAGUUAUUAAAGCUGUGAUUGACAUUUUUCUCAUAAUGAAUCCUCUCAGGACAUUGUGUAGCCUGUGGUAAGUACAAAGGGAGAGGAAGAUAUUUUGAAUUUUAAGAGCUUUGUUAUCAGUGUAACCCUCCCUAGUUGAAUGUUGUUUUCUUCUUGUUCCAUUAAGUCAAAAUACAAAUCAGCACAGAUAUUUAGUUUCCAGUAUUUUCAAAUGUACUGUUACUUCUGAAAAGUAUUUUGCUUAACGUUGUGUGUGUAUUGUGUAUAUAUCUCAAGUUCAAGUUAAUGGCUUUCAUGUAUGUUCUAAAGAAAGAAAAGUAACACAAAUAUUAAUAAUAUCCUUAGUUAUAACCAUAAUAAGUAUUGGCAUUGGUGUUAAGUGCCAUUUUAUACUUUCUCCCUAUGUUCUCUCUAUUGUACUAACCAACCUCCCAAAUCAUUGAGCUGCUUGUUAAAAAAGAAAAAAAGGGAAAAGGAAAAAGCA